rnacentral:rRNA from 1 species
GAUGAACGCUGGCGGCGUGCCUAAUACAUGCAAGUCGAGCGAACAGAUGAGGAGCUUGCUCCUCUGACGUUAGCGGCGGACGGGUGAGUAACACGUGGAUAACCUACCUAUAAGACUGGGAUAACUUCGGGAAACCGGAGCUAAUACCGGAUAAUAUAUUGAACCGCAUGGUUCAAUAGUGAAAGACGGUUUUGCUGUCUCUUAUAGAUGGAUCCGCGCCGCAUUAGCUAGUUGGUAAGGUAACGGCUUACCAAGGCAACGAUGCGUAGCCGACCUGAGAGGGUGAUCGGCCACACUGGAACUGAGACACGGUCCAGACUCCUACGGGAGGCAGCAGUAGGGAAUCUUCCGCAAUGGGCGAAAGCCUGACGGAGCAACGCCGCGUGAGUGAUGAAGGUCUUCGGAUCGUAAAACUCUGUUAUUAGGGAAGAACAAAUGUGUAAGUAACUAUGCACGUCUUGACGGUACCUAAUCAGAAAGCAACGGCUAACUACGUG